CAGAUGGGCCGUCUGCGCGUCAUCUCACGUGCGAACAGGUGUUGCACAUUGUGCUCGCGCGCGGAUUGGCGCUGCACACUAUGUCACGUGCGGAUAGGCACCACACACUGUGCGCACACCAUCCCAGUAGCAGGCUUGGGCAGAUAGGCCCAUGUGCACCUGGGGCCUGUGUGCAGUAGGCCUAUGCACACGGUAGGAGUUCUGUGCU
rnacentral:lncRNA from 1 species